GUUUGAUCCUGGCUCAGAUUGAACGCUGGCGGCAUGCUUUUACACAUGCAAGUCGAACGGUAGAGGGGGCAACCCCUUGAGAGUGGCGAACGGGUGAGUAAUGCAUCGGAACGUGCCCAGUCGUGGGGGAUAACUACUCGAAAGAGUGGCUAAUACCGCAUACGACCUGAGGGUGAAAAGCGGGGGACCGAAAGGCCUCGCGCGAUUGGAGCGGCCGAUGUCAGAUUAGGUAGUUGGUGGGGUAAAAGGCCUACCAAGCCUGCGAUCUGUAGCUGGUCUGAGAGGACGACCAGCCACACUGGGACUGAGACACGGCCCAGACUCCUACGGGAGGCAGCAGUGGGGAAUUUUGGGACAAUGGGCGCAAGCCUGAUCCAGCCAUGCCGCGUGCGGGAAGAAGG
rnacentral:rRNA from 1 species